UGGCGGCGUGCCUAACACAUGCAAGUCGAGCGAGAAUCUUUUAAAUGAUCCCUUCGGGGUGAAUUUAAAAGAGGAAAGCGGCGGACGGGUGAGUAACGCAUGAGUAACCUGCCUUCAGGAGGGGGACAACAUUCCGAAAGGGAUGCUAAUACCGCAUGAUAUUAUUUUUUCGCAUGAAAAGAUAAUCAAAGAUUUAUCGCCUGAAGAUGGACCCGCGUCUGAUUAGCUAGUUGGUGAGGUAACGGCCCACCAAGGCGACGAUCGGUAGCCGGACUGAGAGGUUGAUCGGCCACAUUGGGACUGAGACACGGCCCAGACUCCUACGGGAGGCAGCAGUGAGGGAUAUUGGGCAAUGGGGGCAACCCUGACCCAGCGACGCCGCGUGAGGGAUGACGGUCUUCGGAUUGUAAACCUCUGUCUUCGGGGACGAAAAAGGACGGUACCCGAGGAGGAAGCUCCGGCUAACUACGUG
rnacentral:rRNA from 1 species